rnacentral:rRNA from 1 species
CCGGGGGAUAGCCCGGGGAAACCCGGAUUAAUACCCCAUAGUAUACAGAGACUGCAUGGUUUUUAUAUUAAAGAUUCAUCGGUAAGGGAUGGGCAUGCGUAGGAUUAGUUAGUUGGCGGGGUAACGGCCCACCAAGACUGUGAUCCUUAGGGGUUCUGAGAGGAAGGUCCCCCACACUGGCACUGAGAUACGGGCCAGACUCCUACGGGAGGCAGCAGUAGGGAAUAUUGGGCAAUGGGCGGGAGCCUGACCCAGCCAUGCCGCGUGCAGGAAGAAGGCGUUAUGCGUUGUAAACUGCUUUUAUACGGGAAGAAAAGGCCCAUGCGUGGGACAUUGCCGGUACCGUAUGAAUAAGCACCGGCUAACUCCGUGCCAGCAGCCGCGGUAAUACGGAGGGUGCAAGCGUUGUCCGGAUUUAUUGGGUUUAAAGGGUGCGUAGGCGGCCCGUUAAGUCAGCGGUGAAAGUCUGUGGCUCAACCAUAGAAGCGCCGUUGAUACUGAUGGGCUUGAGAA